GGGCUCAGCUUUCCUCUCCCUCCUCUGAGGAGUCUUCUGUGGGUUACUCCACCCCAGCUUUAAUUAACGCUGGGGAGGGAAAGUGAAAACAGCUCUUAGUUGAUCAUGGCAGGGGACGAGACCUAAUAAACCCCAGGAGAGAAGGCUGACUGCAGAAAUCAGGGUAGUAAAACCAGAAACCUCUGGAGUGAGGCUGGGCUUGGGCUCUGCAGCCGGUUAGUAUUCAGCUGGAAUGCCACGUUGUUACAGACAAUGCAUUAACAUCAAAGCCACUGGGUCUUGCCAUUUCCUCAACAAUGUCAAGUUUCAGGGAAGAGUAAGAAGGGGAAAGAAGGAAGUUUGGAGAAACCUUCUCGUUGCAACUCCCUUUUAUCAUGAGAGCUAGAGGACCAUUAAACACCACUAAAGCAGAGCUCACUGAAAAGACUACUGAAAUAAUGGAAACGUUCACCUACUUUACAAAGAAUUAAACAUGGCCUUUGCUGGUGGAUCCUGAAUAAACUGGCCUUUCAUUUUAUAAUUUUCUUCAUUUGAAGAAGACAAAUUGAAAGCAAGGUGUUUCAUGUCUGGUUUCUGUUCCAUUUAUUUUGUUUUUUCUCUGGAUAUCUUCCCAUGGAUCACCAAGAAACAUUCAAGCAACCACACAAGUGAAGUUAAAUAGUGUCUUUUAAAGAACAGACAUUGUCCCUGAUGCCUAAAAUGGCAGACUUUUGCUACAGUCCUAACUCAUACUGCUGUGUGUGAGAAAGACUCUUUAUCUGUUAUCAGUGAGAAAAUGCAGCUGUUUGUAGCCUUGGGAAUCAGACAGUCCAAAAUACCAAACAGCAGCAAGGAGAGCAAAGUUCCACCCCUCCAGUUUCUGCAUUGUUCACAUGAUAAUUUGUGAGCACCACAGCACAUCCCCAGCCUUGGCUCUAAGAGGAGCGAGGGACACCCUGCCAAGCCUCGUUAUCCACUCACUUUUUGCACUUUCUUACCAGUGUGACUGCAUUUCCUCUGCCUACCACUGGAUUUUCAGCUGUCUUUUCCCAGCAAAUCAAAGUCCCAUUUAUUUCCCUGGACCGUUUUUCAAUGCCCAGGCCCAUAGGCCAUGAUCCAAUUGCCUCUUAAUUUUCCCUUGGAUAAAUAAUGUAAGUGAAUUCUUCACUAGAAGACAACCUUCCCCAACAUCAAGUCAUCGUGGCAGCAGUUUUCUUAUCCUCUUCUAAUUAACUAAAGGUCUUUUUGGAAGGCAGAAACACAGAAUUGGACACGAUAUCAAUAAGAGGACAGCAGCAAUCUCCUAGUUCCUGUCUACUGUCUUGCUACUGAAAGAUUCAAAGAUAUAAUUCAGUCCUUUUCUUGCAGCAGUGAAUUGAAUAUCUAUUAUGAGCAUUUCUAGAAUGACUGCCUCCUGAGGUACAGCUCCCUGCCUUCAUUUCAAGUUUGCUGACCUGGGUGUAAAAUUUCUCAGGGUUUGCAAUAGAAGAAUUCUUAUAACAAGGAGCAGCAGUGAUGCCCAAGGAAGCAGCACCUUGUGUGAGGUUAAUAUUAUACCCUGAAUAUGGUGUAAGCCAGCUCUGAGCUGAUACAAAAAAAAAUAAAAGGUAAAUACUUCUCUAUGGACCUGUCCAACUGAUGCCAAUUUUAGGUCUCAGAUCUGUCACUCGGAAAGGUGACCUGUAUAUUCUGUAUUGGUUUUUGCCAAAACUGUGUGUUAUUAGUGUCACUUGAUGCUAGUUGAUGGGAGGAAACUGCCACUUGCUUUGUCCUUCCUACAUUUAUCUGGAAUUGGUGAUUCCCAAACCUCUGGAUUGACGGAUUUUUCUCACGUGUCAAGGUUUCUUAUCAAUCCUACAAUUAAGAAUGUGAAGGGUAUGAUUUUCCUCCCACUAAAGGCAGGUGUCUGGUCUAU